CCUACGGGUGGCAGCAGUGAGGAAUAUUGGUCAAUGGGCGCGAGCCUGAACCAGCCAAGUAGCGUGAAGGAUGACUGCCCUACGGGUUGUAAACUUCUUUUAUAAAGGAAUAAAGUGAGGCGCGUGUGCCUUUUUGUAUGUACUUUAUGAAUAAGGAUCGGCUAACUCCGUGCCAGCAGCCGCGGUAAUACGGAGGCUCCGGCCUUUAUCCGUAUUUAUUGUGUUUAAAGGGAGCGUAGAUGGGUUGUUAAGUAAGUUGUGAAAGUUUGCGGCUCAACCGUAAAAUUGCAAUUGAUACUGGCAGGCUUGAGUACAGUUGAGGUAGGCGGAAUUCGUGGUGUAGCGGUGAAAUGCUUAGAUAUCACGAAGAACUCCGAUUGCGAAGGCAGCUUACUAAACUGCCACUGACAUUGAUGCUCGAAAGUGUGGGUAUCAAACAGGAUUAGAUACCCGGGUAGUC
rnacentral:rRNA from 1 species